rnacentral:rRNA from 1 species
AUGGCAGCAUUAACAAGCCUCAUGACCCGCUUUUGCACGGGCGAGGACAGCUGGCUAGCCCAAUGCAGCACCAGCGACCAAAGUACAUCCGAAGUUAGAGAUGGAAACGGGAAAUCACGACGCAGCAAAAAUAAUAAGCGCUGGAAUAAAGAAGACAUCCCGAAGAGCACGACGGUAAAUGCCGGAUUCAGAAGCUCUCGGCCAGGUCAGCAAAAGCCGUCCUCUAAAGGCGCCAGAGAUGAACUGUCUAGCCUAAACAAAAUUCUGGACCAAAUAUGUCAGAUCCACAGCACCCCCGAUAAACCUACAAAUCAUACCCACAGAGAAUUUUGGGUCUUCAAGCAGUCCGGCAAGCUCAAUGCCGAACACAAGGGGCAGGAUACACAAAGCGAAGACGAGGAUGAGCCUCGCAAGCAAAGCGCUGGGGAACAGAAGAAAUUUCCACCAUAA